UACGUAGGGCGCAAGCGUUGUCCGGAAUUAUUGGGCGUAAAGCGCGCGUAGGCGGCUCGGAAAGUCGGUCGUGAAAUGCCGGGGCUCAACCCCGGGACUGCGUCCGAUACUCCCGAGCUGGAGGCAGGUAGGGGAGAUCGGAAUUCCUGGUGUAGCGGUGAAAUGCGCAGAUAUCAGGAGGAACACCGGUGGCGAAAGCGGCUCACUGGACCGUUUCUGACGCUGAGGUGCGAAAGCUAGGGGAGCAAACGGG
rnacentral:rRNA from 1 species